rnacentral:rRNA from 1 species
GCUUGUCUCAAAGAUUAAGCCAUGCAUGUCUUAGUGUAAAUAACUCUUAUGAAACUGCGAAUGGCUCAUUACAUCAGUUAUAGUUUAUUUGAUGGUCCUUGCUACUUGGAUAACCGUAGUAAUUCUAGAGCUAAUACAUGCAUAAAACCCUAACUUCUGGAAAGGGUGUAUUUAUUAGAUUGAAACCGAUGCGGGGUAACCCGGAUUUUGGUGAUUCAUAAUAACUUUCGGAGCGAGUAAUCGCUGCAUCAUUCAAGUUUCUGCCCUAUCAGCUUUGGAUGGUAGGGUAUUGGCCUACCAUGGCUUUAACGGGUAACGGAGAAUUAGGGUUCGAUUCCGGAGAGGGAGCCUGAGAAAUGGCUACCACAUCCAAGGAAGGCAGCAGG